CAUACUGGGCGUUCGGGCGAUUCCCGAAGGGCCUUUUGCCUUAGUCGGGCGAAUUCCCGACGAGGCCUUUUUUGAAUUUCAACCAUUUAUUGUUUAAACAAAUAAAGUCCAUUUUAGCGAACAUGGACAAAAUCUUUAAUUUCCUAUUGAAAUUUUUCUACUGAGGCCUUUCCGUUAAUUCUUUCUUCGAUUUCUAAUCAAAAUUUUCCUACUGAGGCAUUUCCCUCAAUUUUUUCUAUGCUUCCCAAUCGAAAUUUUUCCACUGAGGCCGUUCUGUUUGUUUUCCAGAAAUGCCUCAGUAGGAAAAUUUCGAUUGGAAUUUAAAGAAAUAUUAACAGAGCGAAAUUUUUUAAAUACAUUUUUCGAUGGUUGUACAUUUUUAAAUUCCCCUCGAAAAUUUUUCUUUGAGCUAUUUCCACAAUCUUUUUUUUUUAAUUUUGCACCGCCAAAUCGCUGCGCCCUAGGCAAAUGUCCCAAUUGUUC